GUGGGGAAUCUUGCGCAAUGGGCGAAAGCCUGACGCAGCCAUGCCGCGUGAAUGAUGAAGGUCUUAGGAUUGUAAAAUUCUUUCACCGGGGACGAUAAUGACGGUACCCGGAGAAGAAGCCCCGGCUAACUUCGUGCCAGCAGCCGCGGUAAUACGAAGGGGGCUAGCGUUGCUCGGAAUUACUGGGCGUAAAGGGCGCGUAGGCGGACAGUUUAGUCAGAGGUGAAAGCCCAGGGCUCAACCUUGGAAUUGCCUUUGAUACUGGCUGUCUUGAGUACGGGAGAGGUGAGUGGAACUCCGAGUGUAGAGGUGAAAUUCGUAGAUAUAGGAAGGAACACCAGUGGCGAAGGCGACUCACUGGCCCAAUACUGACGCUGAGGCGCGAAAGCGUGGGGAGCAAACAGGAUUAGAAACCCUUGUAGUCC
rnacentral:rRNA from 1 species